rnacentral:rRNA from 1 species
GACGAACCGUACGAACGUUAUUCGGAAUCACUGGGCUUAAAGGGUGCGUAGGCUGCGCGGAAAGUUGGGUGUGAAAUCCCUCGGCUCAACCGAGGAACUGCGCCCAAAACUGCCGUGCUCGAGGGAGACAGAGGUGAGCGGAACUUAGGGUGGAGCGGUGAAAUGCGUUGAUAUCCUAAGGAACACCGGUGGCGAAAGCGGCUCACUGGGCCACAACUGACGCUGAGGCGCGAAAGCUAGGGGAGCAAACAGG